UCAUAAUUGCCUAGAGGAGCUGUAACAACACACCGCUCGGCCCCAUCCCUAGCCUCUGACCCUGGAGGUCAGGCAGGGUCCUGAGAAUUGACAUUUCUAACAAGUUUCCAGUGAUGCUGACAUUGAUGUAGGGAACACUGCUCUGACGUGAGAGGGUUAGUUACUAACUCAGAAGAUGGGGCAUGAAGCCCAGACUUGAGAUUAGAAUGUUACCACUUUGGAUUAGGGGUUCAAAGGGCUCCCCUGCUCCCUUGCAAGUCACCUGGGGAUAUUAUUGGCCUCAUUUCCAGAGAGAACUGAGGCUGGAAGCAGUAACUUGCCUAACAUCACCUAAUUCAUAGAGCAUCAGUAAAACAUGUCCAGACAAUGAAGCAGCUACUAGCAAAACUGGAAUACUAAUCCGGAGAGUCUGGCCACAGAAACCACCUUCUUCACCAGGACACAAUUCCACAUUCUUCUAUAAGAGGUAGUGACCACCUGCACUAGAAGGAAGGAGUCUUGAUUCCUGGAGGUUCUCUGUGUGGGCCAGAAACAUCCCCUUUACCACCCUCACUGACCUGCCUGGAUUGUGACAUGAGAGGAGGAUCAGCUCCCAGCCGUCACAAGCAGACUCGUGGAAUCUCACAUGAACCCGAAGUGAGAUAUGCAGCAGCUUCCAGGCAAGCUCUUUAGAAUCACCUAAUGUUGAGCCUGUGGGCUCUGAUGGUUGGAGAGAACUUCCUGGAGAUUCUUCACUAGCUCUCAGACUGCCUGACACCAACUUCUUUGGGCAACAGGCUGCUAUGUUUGGCUGAGGCUUCCCUCACCUCUCUGCUCACCCUUCCUGUGACAAUCCUUGAUCCUGUUUAUGGAUCAUUUCUUACUGAGGGAAUUGAGAAGGUGCUCAGCUGCAUUCGACGUUUCACAGCCUGCCUCAUGGGAACCCACACCCCUGGGUGGAGGUGCCAGUUGCUCUCUAGGAUCAAGAGUUCCACUCAGACCUUCAGCAGGUUCUAAAAGACUAGUAAAACUGCAUAGUCAAGACAUCUGUGAAAUAAAUGAAAAUGAUGAAGACUGGAAUUCAGUGAUUGCCUUUGAGUUGCUGUUAAUCUGGAAUCUAGAGUCCUGAGUCAGAUUUCCUUAUAUGGCCUCCAAUUUCUGUCACCAUUAUAACUGCCCUGACCCUUUUCUUCAUCAUAGGCUGGCCUCUCCCAUUAACCCUAAUUAAGUAUCAGGUGUCCGAGGGGCCCAGUGACAUCCUGUGGCAUUAACGGGUCAAUAUAGGGUCAGAAGGGAGGAAAGAGACAAGCACCUCCUUUUCUUCAUAC